UACGUAGGGUGCAAGCGUUGUCCGGAAUUAUUGGGCGUAAAGGGCUCGUAGGCGGUCCAUCGCGUCGGGAGUGAAAAGCUGGGGCUCAACCCCAGUCCUGCUUUCGAUACGGGCAGACUAGAGGCAUGCAGGGGAGAACGGAAUUCCUGGUGUAGCGGUGAAAUGCGCAGAUAUCAGGAGGAACACCGAUGGCGAAGGCAGGUCUCUGGGCAUUAACUGACGCUGAGGAGCGAAAGCAUGGGGAGCGAACAGG
rnacentral:rRNA from 1 species